GAUGAACGCUGGCGGCGUGCCUAAUACAUGCAGGUCGAGCGAACAGACGAGGAGCUUGCUCCUCUGACGUUAGCGGCGGACGGGUGAGUAACACGUGGAUAACCUACCUAUAAGACUGGGAUAACUUCGGGAAACCGGAGCUAAUACCGGAUAAUAUAUUGAACCGCAUGGUUCAAUAGUGAAAGACGGUUUUGCUGUCACUUAUAGAUGGAUCCGCGCCGCAUUAGCUAGUUGGUAAGGUAACGGCUUACCAAGGCAACGAUGCGUAGCCGACCUGAGAGGGUGAUCGGCCACACUGGAACUGAGACACGGUCCAGACUCCUACGGGAGGCAGCAGUAGGGUAUCUUCCGCAAUGGGCGAAAGCCUGACGGAGCAACGCCGCGUGAGUGAUGAAGGUCUUCGGAUCGUAAAACUCUGUUAUUAGGGAAGAACAAAUGUGUAAGUAACUAUGCACGUCUUGACGGUACCUAAUCAGAAAGCCACGGCUAACUACGUG
rnacentral:rRNA from 1 species